rnacentral:RNase_P_RNA from 1 species
ACUGCAAGCUGCUCUAUCGCGGGGUUGAUUGUAUCAAACACGAGGAAAGUCCGAACAACGCAGAGCAUCACACCAUCUAACGGAUGGGGUUUCAAAUUUAUUUGGAAUACAGAAAGUGUCGCAGAAAAUAACCGCCCUAAAUUUAUUUGGGGUAAGGGUGAAAACGUGCGGUAAGAGCGCACGGCUAUUGAUGGCAACAUCAAUAGGGGAUAAACCUUGUGAGUUGAAAUGCCAUGUAUACCAGUACGAAUUCUACGGAAUUCAUAGGGUUGCUCGCUCUAGCUGGAGGGUAGGCAGAUAGAACCAACAGGUGACUGUUGGUCUAGAUAAAUGAUAGAGGCUCUACUUCAGUGGAGUACAGGAUUCGGCUUAUAGGCUUGUAGUUGCU